AUUGCCCUAGUAACGGCGAGUGAAGCGGCAACAGCUCAAAUUUGAAAUCUGGCUCUUUUAGAGUCCGAGUUGUAAUUUGCAGAGGGCGCUUUGGCUUUGGCAGCGGUCCAAGUUCCUUGGAACAGGACGUCACAGAGGGUGAGAAUCCCGUACGUGGUCGCUGGCUAUUGCCGUGUAAAGCCCCUUCGACGAGUCGAGUUGUUUGGGAAUGCAGCUCUAAAUGGGAGGUACAUUUCUUCUAAAGCUAAAUAUUGGCCAGAGACCGAUAGCGCACAAGUAGAGUGAUCGAAAGAUGAAAAGCACUUUGGAAAGAGAGUCAAACAGCACGUGAAAUUGUUGAAAGGGAAGCGCUUGCAGCCAGACUUGCUUACAGUUGCUCAUCCGGGUUUCUACCCGGUGCACUCUUCUGUAGGCAGGCCAGCAUCAGUUUGGGCGGUAGGAUAAAGGUCUCUGUCACGUACCUCCUUUCGGGGAGGCCUUAUAGGGGAGACGACAUACUACCAGCCUGGACUGAGGUCCGCGCAUCUGCUAGGAUGCUGGCGUAAUGGCUGUAAGCGGCCCGUCUUGAAACACGGACCAAGGAGUCUAACAUCUAUGCGAGUGUUUGGGUGUCAAGCCCGAGCGCGUAAUGAAAGUGAACGGAGGUGGGAACCCGCAAGGGUGCACCAUCGACCGAUCCUGAUGUCUUCGGAAGGAUUUGAGUAAGAGCAUGGCUGUUGGGACCCGAAAGAUGGUGAACUAUGCUUGAAUAGGGUGAAGCCAGAGGAAACUCUGGUGGAGGCUCGCAGCGGUUCUGACGUGCAAAUCGAUCGUCAAAUUUGGGCAUAGGGGCGAAAGACUAAUCGAACUAUCUAGUAGCUGGUUCCUGCCGAAGUUUCCCUCAGGAUAGCAGUAACGUAUUCAGUUUUAUGAGGUAAAGCGAAUGAUUAGAGGCCUGGGGGUUGAAACAACCUUCACCUAUUCUCAAACUUUAAAUAUGUAAGAAGUCCUUGUUACUUAAUUGAACGUGGACAGUUGAAUGAAACGUUAUUAGUGGGCCAUUU
rnacentral:rRNA from 1 species